GAUGAACGCUGGCGGCGUGCCUAAUACAUGCAAGUCGAGCGAACAGACGAGGAGCUUGCUCCUCUGACGUUAGCGGCGGACGGGUGAGUAACACGUGGAUAACCUACCUAUAAGACUGGGAUAACUUCGGGAAACCGGAGCUAAUACCGGAUAAUAUAUUGAACCGCAUGGUUCAAUAGUGAAAGACGGUUUUGCUGUCACUUAUAGAUGGAUCCGCGCCGCAUUAGCUAGUUGGUAAGGUAACGGCUUACCAAGGCGACGAUGCGUAGCCGACCUGAGAGGGUGAUCGGCCACAUUGGAACUGAGACACGGUCCAGACUCCUACGGGAGGCAGCAGUAGGGAAUCUUCCGCAAUGGGCGAAAGCCUGACGGAGCAACGCCGCGUGAGUGAUGAAGGUCUUCGGAUCGUAAAACUCUGUUAUUAGGGAAGAACAAAUGUGUAAGUAACUAUGCACGUCUUGACGGUACCUAAUCAGAAAGCCACGGCUAACUACGUG
rnacentral:rRNA from 1 species